CAAGCCUGUCAAAGGAGAUGGAAAACUACGUGAAUCUCCAUGAGAAGCUGGAGUUCAGAGAUGUUGACUUUCCCAGUCCCAGUGAUUGUGCCAAGGUGUUUGGAGGAUACCUCAGGCCUGCUGAGAGGAUGGACAUCAUCCUCACAGCCAUUGAAGCGAUGGUUGACUCCAGCAUCUAUGACAAGGAGGCGGCCUGCAGUGUGAUGGCCAUGGCCAUGGAAGACCACGCCUUCUGGAUGCCAGAUAAAGCCCAGAUCAUAAGCUCCAUCCGCAAGAACUUGAGGAGCAUCACCGCAAAGGCAGCGCGGCACUGCCUGGACUCCCUGCUCCUCCUUGUGACCAGCCAGAUGCCCACGGAAGAAGUCAGGAACCUGCUGAAGUCCUCUCCACCAAGCGACAGCAACACCCUGGACAUGUGGGAGGUGAUGCUCUGCAUGCCGCGGACCUUGGAGAAGGUUUUGAAGGAGGUGACCAAGGGCUCACAGCUGAGCAGGCUGGUAGAAGGCGUCACAGAAGACACCUGUAUCCUCUUCUUGGCUCUAAUGGCAAAGAGUGAAGAUAAUGAAGACUUUUUUGGUGACCUACGCCACCUCAAGACUUUUCUGAAGCACCCAAGCGCGGAGAUGAAGAGCGUGGUGCUCAGAGGGCUUGUCAUACUCUCCGAGACACAGGAGAAGGCAAGAAAAAUGCGGGUCGUGCUGCCAGAGAUCAUGGCCACCCUGCAGGAUGCCAGCGCGGACAUCAAGAUGAAGGCCCUGUUUGUCAUUCAAAACAUCAUGGGCAGCGUGAGGAGGAAGGAGGCCAGCUCCAUCGCUGUGCAGCACGCUGAGGAGCUCCUGCCUCUCUUUGACAACGAGUGCAGUGCCGUGCGGGUGUCCUCCAUCCGCCUCUACAGAGACAUGGUGCAGGCCGUGGUCUGGUGCCACCGGAGCAGAAUGAAGGGGACGGUGCGCAGGGCCCUGGUCCCACUGCUCCUUCGGAUGAGGGAUGAGAACCAGGACGCGGCCCAGGUACAGUUUUCCGUCCCACCGAGGGCACGGUGACACCGUUUGGGUGCUGUGGGUGCCAGGGU
rnacentral:lncRNA from 1 species